UUUUUUUUAAAUAAAAGAGUAUAGGAUGGAUAAAAUGGAACAGAACAGAACACAAAAGAAGUAGAUGGCAUGCAAUGAGGGCACAUGGUCUUCAAGCAUGUUCAGCAGCUGAACCUUUGGCUUCAAAGGAAAUCUUUAACAACACCCCAACAUAUAAAACAGCCUGGUUUGAAAUAUCAGUACUUGAGACCCGAUGGAGACAUGGUCCUGUCCAUCGCUGAGUGGUGCUGAAGCCUGAGUGGGAGCAGGUGUGACCUGUGUCUUCACUAUAUUGGCUGAGCUUCUACAAUGUAUAAAUCAGAAUGUCCACCUAUCAUAGGACAGUGGCCAGAUUCUACGAGGAAGACCGGAAUGUGUGCAUCCGUUGGGCACAACCGCUCUCUGAAAAACAAAACAAAACAAAACAAAACUACACCAAGUUCUGUCCAUUUUACUAGUCUGAAUAUCGCUGCCAACAUGGAUUUAGAGUAAUGGAGUUAGUCGGGUAAUUUUAAUAACUCUGGACUUGGAACCAUGGUAGACCAAACGACUCCAUUUUUGCCAUUUAUAGUGACUUUCUCAGUUGACCAGAUUUAUGUGUGGGCAGGUUUGGGUACCCAUCUCCCUUGGAUAUUACAGGAGAAUCCAAAGGCAUUCUUUUGGGAAUUUCUUUUCAGUGAAAGUACAAGGUCAGAGCCAGGAGCUGACAGUGAUGAGAAAUGAGGGCAGGGAUUGCUGCCACUUCUCCAGCAUCUGGUACGUAGUAGGCAUAAAGUAACUAGCUUUCGAAUGGAUGAGUGGAUGAGCAGAGGAAUGGGUUUCAUGGAAUAAUGAUACAGGAUGGAGCAGAUGUCCCGUUUUGCUAACCUUGCUGGUUCCAGCUGCUUUUCUCCUCCCUUGGUUUGCCUCUUCACCUGGCUCAGACUGAAAUGGUUCUGGUUCUUUCCCUUUGACCGUUCAUUCUCCCAGCCUCUCAAGGGAAAGAUGUAUAUAUGUAAGCAUAUGUGUGCCCGUGUGUGUAGUAGGACCUAAACAUCGUGGUUAUAACUUCAAGUAUCAACCAGGAAAUAGCUAUCAAAACUUCUGCGCCCUCAACUUCAAAAUUUAAAACUAAAAAGCAAAAAGCACUAAACUAACAACAGCCAUGGAGAAUAAUUUCAUCAUCCCCAUCCUACACGAGGAAAGUGAAUACCAAAGUGAGUCAGUGACUUGCGGGGGCGUCCUUACUAAGAAGUGUGACAGGACCAGGGUUCAAACCCUGGUCAAUUUGACUCCACCCUGGUAAUGCCCAAUGCAUCUAACACUUGGUUUUCCUUUCAACAAAAGAAGAGAUUCAUCUUAGAAGUUUUUUGCAAUCCCAGUAUUCUCUGAUGUAGUGGAUUCUUAUUCUUUCUCCUUAAGAGUCUAGCGUUGGGUCUUGUAGGGCAUGUGCAUUUAUCAAGGUGGCUUAGACAAGGUCCAGUAGGUGGAGCUAGAGAGCAGACACGGGCUGCCCGUGGCGGGGGAGGAGUAGGUGGCUCUGAGGAACAGAGUACCUGGGUAUUGACAGUCCUCACAGGAAUAAUCCCGUUAGUUGACUUCCUUCUUCAGAAUGCAAAUCCCUGUUAUGAUCUGGGCUUGGGAUGGAGGGAGAUGAAUUCCUGAGAAGUAACUCUCCUCAUCCCGAAAGAUCAAGGCUAGAGGGAAUAGCCCACUUAAACGAAGUUAUGGGUAUGUUGUUCUGUGGAAAACAGGGUAAAUCAGUAAAAGAAACAAAAAUCUGUCCACAGUGUCACAGGUAAUCCGCGAAACCUUCCUUAAAGGCUCAGCCCUAGGUUUGAGCCUCAGUUUUCUUUUUUUUUUUUUCUUUUUUUGUGAAUCAAGAUCCAUGUAAGGUCAAAAUACUGAGAUUUAUUGAUGUUUAAAAACCUCCCCAUUUUUAAAAAAUAGGCUUUAUUUUUUAGAACACUUUUAGAUUUACAGAAAAAUUGAGAAGAUACUAUGGAGCGCACCCAUGUACUCCACACCUAACGUGCCCCAUCUCCGUGGUCCCCCCUUACCAGCGACGGGUGGAAUGCAAGACCCCAAGUGGAUGCUUACACUGAAGAAGGGGAGUUGGAAGAAAGGCAGGUAGGGACAAGGGGCCCCUGCCCUAAGAGAAAACCACCCUUAAAAGGAUUUCACAUCACCCUGGAAGGAGCCUUCCACCCUUUCCCUCGUGAUAGAUAGGUGAGAGAAACCUGAUUGGAGGACAGGCGCAGGGAGGGUUAAUCAGAUAAAAACAGCCCGCCAGCAAGCCCGUAAAAACCCCUAGACAUAGAACUCCGGUGACAGCCCUCUCGGGUCCCCACCCUCCUCGGGAGCUUUGUACUAUUGCUCAAUAAACGUUACUAUCACUCAAUAAACUUUGCUCUGCUGUCCACUGCUCUUCAUCUGGUCUAACUCUUCAUUCUUCAACGUGGCAUGACUAAGAACCGCGGGCACCAAAGGAAAAGAAAAUCCUGUAUCAAAACCUCAUAUAAGACCAAAUGCUACACAGACUAUGAUUUUUCCUGUCCAUAUACACACACACCUAUGAUAAAGUUUAUAGAUUAGGCACAGGAAGUGAUUAACAAUAAUAAUAAAAUAGAACAAUUACAACAAUAUGCUAUCAUCAAGUUACGUGAAUGUGGUCUCUCUCCAAAUAUCAGUUGAACAAUACUCACCUUUCUUAGGACGAUUUGAGGUAAUGAAAGGCCCGCAUGACCAGACAGAGUGAGGGCGAUGACGCAGGCAUGUGACAUAGCAGGAGGCUACUGUUGACCUUCUGACAAGGGGUUACGAGGAGGACCAUCUGCUUCCAGACCUGGGUUGACUGCAGUUAACUGAAAUGGCUAAAGGCAAAAGGUCAAAUAGUGUUCUUGCUGCACAAACAUCUCCAAACUAGGGUGGCUCAUCGCUUAUAAUCAUUGAAUUGAUCUCGCUGCCUUAUUGUCAACUAAGUCCACAGUUUAUUCAGAUUCUCUUAGGUUUGACCUAAUGUCCAUUUCUCUAUUCCAGGAUUCUCUCCAGGACACCACAUUAUAUUCAGUCAUCACGUCUCCCUAUGCUCCUCUCGGCUAUUCCUCACACUUCACUUGUUUUUCAUGUCCUGGGUGGUUUUGGGGAUGUUUUGCAGGAUGCCCCACUCUUGGAAUUUGUCUGAUGUUUUGCUCAUGCUUAGACUGGGGUUAUGAGUUCUUGGGAAGAAGAGAGAAGCCCAUUUUCAUCAUAUAUCAAGAGUACAUACAUACAAUCAACACGUUUUAUGACUGUGGGUGUUGAACCUUGAUCACCCGGCUGAGGUUAUCUGCCAAUAGAAUUCUUUCCUCCUUGGGGAGGGGAUUCAUUUUUUUUUUUUUUUUAAUUCAGGCCUUCAACAGAUUAGAUAAGACCCACCCACAUUGUGGAGGAUAAUCUGCUUUACUCAAAGUGUACUAAUUUAAGUUUUAAUCUCAUCGAAAACUACCUUUGAAGAAACAUCUAAAUUACUGUUUGACCAAAUAUUUGGGUAUCAUGGCCUAGCCAAGUUGGUACAUAAAGUUAACCAUUGCUGAUGGGAAGAGGGGAAGCAAUGCUAAGCACACACAGGGUUGGAGGACCUGGCUCAGUGUUACCCUGGUGAAUUUGGAAGAUCUCUGUGGGAGAGACUGGACAACUGAUUUGCAUGACUCUGGAAGCAGUGUGGGGGUGAGCUAGCU